GACGAAGGGGGCUAGCGUUGUUCGGAAUUACUGGGCGUAAAGAGUGUGUAGGCGGUGCUCUAAGUUUGUCGUGAAAUCUCCCGGCUUAACUGGGAGGGUGCGGCGAAAACUGGAGUGCUAGAGGGUGGGAGAGGAAAGCGGAAUUCCUGGUGUAGCGGUGAAAUGCGUAGAUAUCAGGAGGAACACCUGCGGUGUAGACAGCUUUCUGGACCACUUCUGACGCUGAGACACGAAAAGCGUGGGUAGCAAA
rnacentral:rRNA from 1 species